rnacentral:rRNA from 1 species
AACCAACAGGGAUUGCCCUAGUAACGGCGAGUGAAGCGGCAACAGCUCAAAUUUGAAAUCUGGCGCAAGCCCGAGUUGUAAUUUGUAGAGGAUGCUUCUAGGUAGCGACCGGUCUAAGUUCCUUGGAACAGGACGUCAUAGAGGGUGAGAAUCCCGUAUGUGACCGGCCCGCACCUUCUACGUAGCUCCUUCGACGAGUCGAGUUGUUUGGGAAUGCAGCUCUAAAUGGGAGGUAAAUUUCUUCUAAAGCUAAAUACCGGCCAGAGACCGAUAGCGCACAAGUAGAGUGAUCGAAAGAUGAAAAGCACUUUGGAAAGAGAGUUAAAAAGCACGUGAAAUUGUUGAAAGGGAAGCGCUUACAACCAGACUUCUGGGCGGUGUUCCGCCGGUCUUUUGACCGGUCUACUCGCCGUCCCGAGGCCAACAUCAUCUGGGACCGCUGGAUAAGACCUCAGGAAUGUAGCUUCCCUCGGGAAGUGUUAUAGCCUGUGGUGAUGCAGCGCGUCUCGGGUGAGGUCCGCGCUUCGGCAAGGAUGUUGGCGUAAUGGUUGUCAGCGGCCCGUCUUGAAACACGGACCAAGGAGUCUAACAUCUAUGCGAGUGUUCGGGUGUCAAACCCCUACGCGUAAUGAAAGUGAACGGAGGUGGGAAGCGUAAGCUGCACCAUCGACCGAUCCUGAUGUCCUCGGAUGGAUUUGAGUAAGAGCAUAGCUGUUGGGACCCGAAAGAUGGUGAACUAUGCCUGAAUAGGGUGAAGCCAGAGGAAACUCUGGUGGAGGCUCGCAGCGGUUCUGACGUGCAAAUCGAUCGUCAAAUUUGGGUAUAGGGGCGAAAGACUAA